AUUGAACGCUGGCGGCAGGCCUAACACAUGCAAGUCGAACGCGAAAGUCCUUCGGGAUGAGUAGAGUGGCGGACGGGUGAGUAACGCGUAGGAAUCUGUCCUGUAGUGGGGGAUAACUCGGGGAAACUCGAGCUAAUACCGCAUACGCCCCAAGGGGGAAAGGGGGGGAUCUUCGGACCUCGCGCUAGAGGAGGAGCCUGCGUCGGAUUAGCUAGUUGGUAGGGUAAAGGCCUACCAAGGCGACGAUCCGUAGCUGGUCUGAGAGGAUGAUCAGCCACACCGGAACUGAGACACGGUCCGGACUCCUACGGGAGGCAGCAGUGGGGAAUAUUGCGCAAUGGGGGCAACCCUGACGCAGCCAUGCCGCGUGUGUGAAGAAGGCCUUCGGGUUGUAAAGCACUUUCAGAGGGGAGGAAAGGGCGCUGGCUAAUAUCCGGCGCAGUUGACGCUACCCUCAGAAGAAGCACCGGCUAAUUCCGUGCCAGCCGCCGCCGUAACAC
rnacentral:rRNA from 1 species